rnacentral:rRNA from 1 species
UACGGAAGGUCCUAGCGUUGUUCGGAAUUACUGGUUCUUAAAGCGCAUGUAGAGCCGAACAAAAAGUUAGAAGUGAAAUCCCUGGGCUCAACCUAGGAAUUGUUUUUAAAACUUUUGUUCUGGAAUUCAGGAGAGGAAAAUGGAAUUUCCAGUGUAGAGGUGAAAUUCAUAGAUAUUGGAAGGAACACCAGUGGCGAAGGCGAUUUUCUGGACUGAUAUUGACGCUGAGAUGCGAAGGCAUGUGUAGCAAACGGAAUUAGAUACCCCGGUAGUCCAUGCAGUAAACGAUGGGUGCUAGUCGACGGACUUUUGUUCGGAGUCGUAGCUAACGCGUUAAGCACCCCGCCUGGGGAGUACGGUCGCAAGAUUAAAACUCAAAUAAAUUGACGGGGACCCGCACAAGCAGUGGAGCAUGUGGUUUAAUUCGACGCAACGCGAAGAACCUUACCAGCGUUUGACAUGGAAAGUACCGGUUACAGAAUGGUAACCUUCAGUUCGGCUGGCUUUCACACAGGUGCUGCAUGGCUGUCGUCAGCUCGUAUCGUGAGAUGUUGGGUUAAGUCCCGCAACGAGCGCAACCCUUAUCGUUAGUUACUAACAGUUCGGCUGAGGACUCUAGCGAAACUGCCGGUGAUAAGCCGGAGGAAGGUGGGGAUGACGUCAAGUCCUCAUGGCCCUUACACGCUGGGCUACACACGUGCUACAAUGGUAACUACAACGGGACGCAAUACCGCGAGGUGGAGCAAAUCCCCAAAAGUUAUCUCAGUUCGGAUUGCACUCUGCAACUCGAGUGCAUGAAGUUGGAAUCGCUAGUAACCGCGGAUCAGCAUAACGCGGUGAAUACGAGGACGGGUCU